rnacentral:rRNA from 1 species
CCUACGGGAGGCUGCAGUGAGGAAUAUUGGUCAAUGGACGAGAGUCUGAACCAGCCAAGUAGCGUGAAGGAUGACUGCCCUAUGGGUUGUAAACUUCUUUUAUAUGGGAAUAAAAUGUUCCACGUGUGGGAUUUUGUAUGUACCAUAUGAAUAAGGAUCGGCUAACUCCGUGCCAGCAGCCGCGGUAAUACGGAGGAUCCGAGCGUUAUCCGGAUUUAUUGGGUUUAAAGGGAGCGUAGGCGGCUUGUUAAGUCAGUGGUGAAAGUUUGCGGCUCAACCGUAAAAUUGCAGUUGAAACUGGCAGUCUUGAGUACGGUAGAGGCAGGCGGAAUGCGUGGUGUAGCGGUGAAAUGCUUAGAUAUCACGAAGAACUCCGAUUGCGAAGGCAGCUCGCUGGACUGCAACUGACGCUGAGGCUCGAAAGUGUGGGUAUCGAACAGGAUUAGAUACCCGGGUAGUC